GACAGAGGGUGCAAACGUUGUUCGGAAUUACUGGGCGUAAAGCGCGUGUAGGCGGUCCUGUAGGUCAAAUGUGAAAUCCCUCGGCUCAACCAAGGAAGUGCAUUCGAAACCCCAGGACUUGAGUCUCGGAGAGGAAGGCGGAAUUCUCGGUGUAGAGGUGAAAUUCGUAGAUAUCGAGAGGAACACCGGUGGCGAAGGCGGCCUUCUGGACGAAGACUGACGCUGAGACGCGAAAGCGUGGGGAGCAAACAGG
rnacentral:rRNA from 1 species